GGGCGAGUGGCGGAAUUGGCAGACGCGCCAGAUUUAGGUUCUGGUAUCUCACGGUGUGCGGGUUCAAGUCCCGCCUCGCCCACCA
rnacentral:tRNA from 1 species